rnacentral:rRNA from 1 species
CCUACGGGGGGCUGCAGUGGGGAAUUUUGGACAAUGGGCGCAAGCCUGAUCCAGCCAUGCCGCGUGCGGGAAGAAGGCCUUCGGGUUGUAAACCGCUUUUGUCAGGGAAGAAAUUGCUCGGGCUAAUACCCUGGGCCGAUGACGGUACCUGAAGAAUAAGCACCGGCUAACUACGUGCCAGCAGCUGCGGUAAUACGUAGGGUGCGAGCGUUGAUCGGAGUUUCUGGGGGUAAAGCGGCAAGACGCGGGUGAAAUCCCCGGGCUCAACCUGGGAACUGCAUUUGUGACUGCACGGCUUGAGUACGGUAGAGGAGGAUGGAAUUCCGCGUGUAGCAGUGAAAUGCGUAGAUAUGCGGAGGAACACCGAUGGCGAAGGCAGUCCCCUGGGCCUGUACUGACGCUCAUGCACGAAAGCGUGGGGAGCAAACAGGAUUAGAUACCCCAGUAGUC